CCCUUAGAUGUUCUGGGCCGCACGCGCGCUACACUGACACGUUCAUCAAGUCUAUAACCUUGACCGGGAGGUCUGGGUAAUCUUUUAAAAACGUGUCGUGCUGGGGAUAGAUUAUUGCAAUUAUUAAUCUUCAACGAGGAAUUCCUAGUAAACGCAAGUCAUCAACUUGCAUUGAUUACGUCCCUGCCCUUUGUACACACCGCCCGUCGCUACUACCGAUUGAAUGAUUUAGUGAGUACCAGGGACCGAGCGCUUUGGUUGGGUUUCCUUCCCUAGCGCUUGGGAACUGUCGCAAACUUGACCAUUUAGAGGAAGUAAAAGUCGUAACA
rnacentral:rRNA from 1 species